rnacentral:rRNA from 1 species
AUUGAACGCUGGCGGCAGGCCUAACACAUGCAAGUCGAGCGGACGAACGGAGCUUGCUCCUGGCUGCAGCGGCGGACGGGUGAGUAAUGCCUAGGAAUCUGCCUGGCAGAGGGGGCUAACGUACGGAAAGGGGCGCGAAUAUCGCACACGUCCAGAUGGAGAAAGGGGGGGAUCAUAGGACCUCACGCUACUAGAUGAGCCUAGGUCGGAUUAGCUAGUUGGUGGGGUAAAGGCCUACCAAGGCGACGAUCCGUAGCUGGUCUGAGAGGAUGAUCAGUCACACUGGAACUGAGACACGGUCCAGACUCCUACGGGAGGCAGCAGUGGGGAAUAUUGCACAAUGGGCGAAAGCCUGAUCCAGCCAUGCCGCGUGAGUGAAGAAGGUCUUCGGAUUGUAAAGCACUUUAAGUUGGGAGGAAGGGCAGUGAGUUAAUACCUUGCUAUUUUGACGUUACCAACAGAAUAAGCACCGGCUAACUUCGUG